CGGAAUCAACGGAGGAGAUAGGUGCGAGCGUUCGGUGCUCAGCCAAGUGUCCGUCCUCACAUUCAUCCAUAUUGUUCGCCAAUCUUAGAAAAACACUUGGGAGACUGCUUCACCCAGGUUAAAAAGCGCUCUGCAGCCAUUCUCGCGUUCUUCAUUAAUCAGGGAAUAUUUUAGUAAUCGUAAUUCAAACAUGUGGAAUCUUUCAAGGUUCAGUUAAUUAUGGCAAAAACUGGUGCCAGGACUCGAACGCAGAGUGAUGGGAUCGAAAAAACAGCGACGUCCCGGACGUGAAUAAGAAUCGGGUGGCAAGCAGAUUGGGAGUUGAUGUAUUUGCUAGAGAAAGCGUGCAGAAGAAUAAUGCGAAGACUACGUGAGGACGAGACCCCGAUGAAAACGAACAAUUCGUUCCUAUCCCAAUAUUCGUUUCAACGGUGAAAUUGCGACGUUUGUCAUUAACUAAAGUAUGAGGUUACAGGAAUAUUUACGCUCGAGCAACAUUGGACGUAAAAAAUCAA